AAUAAAUAUGCAGACAUGAGAACUGUGCCUUGCAACCCGUUGCUUAAACAGCUUUAAAAAACCAAAAUACCCACUUUGGUGAAUACAAAGAAGCCAUCGGGAGUAGACCAAAAGUGAACGCACCGAGGCCUUUUGCUGGAAGAGAAGGCAUGAGAGGAGCAGUGCGCCACAGUCAAAACUCCACCCUCAGCAAAAAGAACAGAGGAACAAAAGCAGCGAGCUCUGCCAAGUUAGGAUAAAUGUUCAUGCUGAUGCUCUGUAUGAAUCUUUGCAUCGUUUCAUCAGAAAAGAAGCAAUUCUUUAUUUCUGAGAAUGGCCCAGAGACUUUUUUUUCACCAGGAUCCAAUUCCUAGAGGCAUUUAAUUGUGAUUCUUUUAUGAUGUAGUCCUUUGGGAGAAAGAAGAGAAAAACAGAAGUUUGAAAGACAGAUGCCCCGAUUAACAUGGGGCGUGCUGUGGGUCUUUGCCCUGUUCUGAGUGUCAUGUGUGUGACUAUUCAGCCUCUUCCUGGAUUGCAUUCCAGCCAAGCUCAUGGACAUCUCCUGCAUUUGAGGCAAUCGAAGCCAAAGCUGCUGCUUUGCCCUUCACCAUGUUCCUGCUGCCUCCAGCAGAGCCCUGCAGAGCUGGGUCAUUUGGAUCUGCCCCUCCUGGGAAAGUGGUGGGUGCAGCCCCAGCUCUGUCACUGCUGCCUUGCACUGGGAGAGUGCAUUUGUGGAGUGUGGAAGCCAAUACGGAUCGUAAAGAGAUGGAGGAGUAAUCCAAAGGAGGCAGGAAGCAAUCCAGGUGCAGCAAGGAUUGGAACAAGGCAGGUUGAGGUCAGAGAUUUCCCACUGGCUUCCAGCUGCCAGGAGAGCCACACUACCGAGCGGAGUGCCAAGGGAGAGGCUCCAAAGUUUGCUUAUGGAGGUUUGGGGAGGUUGGUAAGUAAAGCACUGUCAGUCAGGAAUGGUUUGUAUGAAAUUUCUCCUGCCUUGGUGCUUUGGGGUGGACUAACAGACAUAUUGAGUCCAUUCCAGCCCUGUUUGCUGAGAUUUCCACACUGUAUAAACUCAAGUGUAGGUCUGACCUAGCUGGAAUGUUUUUGCCAUUAAGUGAAACAAAAGGCUUACAGAUGUGAACGGCAAAUUACAUACUGCAAAUUAAAGCUUUAAGUAAUUAAGCAUGGCCUUUUCACAUUGUAUUUUUACUUUAUAAAUGUUAUUUUAGUUCAUUGCAUAUAAAUAACAAGUUGAGAAUUGCUGUUCUUAAUUGAAACCAUCUCUACUUUUCUAUGACAAGAGAUUACCAUUUUUAACAGACUCUGUGAUCCACUGAGGCUUAUCGUAGGAUUUUUUUGCACUGUUGCUAGGCAGCUUCAUGCAUGCCAGCAGACAGACACUGCUGGGUAUGUCACGGCUAAUUAGGAAAAAAUCUCUGUACUUUUGAGUGUACUGCAGCUCAAGUUUCUCAAGCUUGCUGCUCUGGAUAAAGACAAAUUAAUUGGUAUGAGGACUGACGAAGCACCAUCAUGGCAGCUGUGCUGUGCUCUAAUAUUUUUUGUUUACAGUCCCCUGGAUCCACCGGGUGAAUGAAGUGGUAAAUAUCUAAACCUCAUUUGUUUGUGUUUGUGGGAAGGGAGCACUGAAUGGAGCUGUGCUAACACUGGCUUUGUCCUGGAGGUUUCAAAGAACUGAGCAUCACAUUCAGAUACACGAUCUGCUCAAUUAAUGCAGGCAGAAUAUUUUGCAAGGAAAAAUCAGGAAUUUUUGGAGGGGUGUGAGUAGUUUUCUUCCUACCAAGCAGAUAGAUAGUGAAAAAACCUCUUAAAUGUUAUUGUCAGUUCUGCCCUGACUGUUUUUCAGCCAAUGCAUGGGGUAUAAAUGCCUCUGCAGAAGAGAUGUCAUAGAAAGGUGCACAACUGCACGGGAGCAAUGUCAGGAGGCAGCUGCAUCCACAGCCCAUGGGUCUCGCACUGGGACAACGCUGCUGGCUGCCAAACUUAAAACAUGAGGUGGCUUUUUUUCUGGCUAUUUACAGCAGCUAUCAGUGCAUACGGUUAAAGAAUAUUAGGGAAGAGUCCUUGCUGGAGUUAAACGUGCCCAGCAUCAGCUAUGAUUGCUUUGACCGCUGUUUACUCUGAAGAGAGAGAGCUAGAAACUUGUCAUUUCUGUGAAGGGGAAUGUAGGCUGUAGGGUAAAUCCUCAUUAAAUCUCUUGGGAAGUUAUGAUUUGAAAACAUAGUGAAUGGCAGAUUGGAGUACAGGGAUUAUAGGAGCUGAAGGCACCUGAUAGAGAUUUAACAGGGAGUAGAUUUAACUUGUGCUUGGUUUUCCUUUUCCUUCAGAUGGAUUGCUUUUAAUCUGAAUGCAGUUCAGAGAAACAAACACCCUGAAAGAAGCUUUAAAUUGCUUCUGUAGUCAGAGAAGAACUAGGUUUGUAGAAACUUCUGAACCCUUCAGAGAUGUCUUUUGAAUAACAAAGGUGAAGCUGUCUUACAGGCAAGCUCAAAACUGAUAACAGAAACAGCUCCUGCCUUCUCUUCUUUUUCAAAACCUCAUUUCACCAUUUUGUUUUAUUUUUCCUACCCUUUCUUGCCUGAAUAUACUAUAUUUCUGUUACUUGUUCAUGUAAAACACAGUUCUGAUGGAGACAGUGGGGCUUUUCACAUACCAGUCUGUCUUUGAACCUGGGGUGGACAUCUGCAUUGGCUGCUUUUCUUUCCUUGACACUGCUGCAGGGAAUGGAAUGGAAUGAGAAAGGGAAAGGGAAAUGGAGGAGAG
rnacentral:lncRNA from 1 species